rnacentral:rRNA from 1 species
AUUGAACGCUGGCGGCAGGCCUAACACAUGCAAGUCGAACGAGUGGCGGACGGGUGAGUAAUGUCUGGGAAACUGCCUGAUGGAGGGGGAUAACUACUGGAAACGGUAGCUAAUACCGCAUACCAUCAGAUGUGCCCAGAUGGGAUUAGCUUGUUGGUGGGGUAACGGCUCACCAAGGCGACGAUCCCUAGCGGGUCCGAGAGGAUGACCAGCAACACUGGAACUGGGAAACGGUCCAGACUCCUCCGGAUGCCAGCAGUGGGGAAUAUUGCACAAUGGGCACAAGCCUGAUGCAGCCAUGCCGCUUGUAUGAAGAGGGCCUUCGGUUUGUAAAGUACUUUCAGCGGGGAGGCGUUACCCGCAGAAGAAGCACCGGCUAACUCCGUGCCAGCAGCCGCGGUAAUUC